UUAUUUGGUGAAUAUGUGAGAAAAUAGUUCAUUAGAUGAUUGGAACUGCAUGGUUAGUUUAAUUGUAAGCCUCAAACAAUGGCACUUGGCUGUCCAAGAGUCAUCAUGUAUUUUUUGGAC